GACGGAGGGUGCUAGCGUUGUUCGGAAUCACUGGGCGUAAAGGGCGCGUAGGCGGCUUCAGGUGUCGGAUGUGAAAGCCCGGGGCUCAACCCCGGAGGUGCAUCCGAAACUCUGGAGCUGGAGGCCGGAAGAGGAGGGUGGAAUACCCAGUGUAGAGGUGAAAUUCGUAGAUAUUGGGUGGAACACCGGUGGCGAAAGCGGCUCUCUGGUCCGGUUCGUGACGCUGAGGCGCGAAAGCGUGGGGAGCAAACAGG
rnacentral:rRNA from 1 species